CAGGUCGGUGGACACAGUGGAUCUACUGAAGCUGGUGGAGCACGCCGAGAUCGUGGUCAAUCGCCGGAGGGAGAUCGCACGCGAGAUUAAGCGGCUACAAAAUGAAGAAAAUAUUCUGAAGACAACAGAAAUGAUAUUAAAGAAAGAGAUACAACUUCUACAAAAGCAGAAAUCUAGGACUCCGGCAACUUCACUCCAAAGACUAACUGUGAGGAAUUAGGAAACGUGGUCCCAUUGGUUCCCUGUGGUCAUUUGAAAUCACGUGGUUUAAAAAAAAUCGAAGUUUAUAACAAUAUUUCCUGACAUUUUAUUCACGAACUCAAGUUAAUUUAUGAUUUAUUCGAUCUCUAUA